AGGAAGUGCGAACUCAGACUGGAAAGG
rnacentral:piRNA from 1 species